rnacentral:rRNA from 1 species
UACGUAGGGCGCAAGCGUUGUCCGGAAUUAUUGGGCGUAAGGAGCUCGUAGGCGGCCUGUUGCGUCCGCUGUGAAAUCCCGGGGCUCAACCCCGGGCCUGCAGUGGAUACGGGCUGGCUAGAGGCAGGCAGGGGAGAACGGAAUUCCUGGUGUAGCGGUGAAAUGCGCAGAUAUCAGGAGGAACACCGGUGGCGAAGGCGGGUCUCUGGGCAGUAACUGACGCUGAGGCGCGACAGCGUGGGGAGCAAACAGG